CCCUUAGAUGUCCUGGGCUGCACGCGCGCUACACUGAUGUGUCCAGUAAGCACCUAACCUCUUCCGAAAGGAACGGGUAACCUUUGCAAAGCACAUCGUGAUGGGGAUAGAUUAUUGCAAUUAUUAGUCUUGAACGAGGAAUUCCCAGUAAGCGCAAGUCAUCAGCUUGCGUUGAUUACGUCCCUGCCCUUUGUACACACCGCCCGUCGCUACUACCGAUUGGAUGGCUUAGUGAGACCCUCGGACCGAUAGGCUGUCGCCGCGGCAACGUGGCAACCGGCCCGUCGGGAAGAAGGUCAAACUUGACUGUCUAGAGGAAGUAAAAGUCGUAACA
rnacentral:rRNA from 1 species